ensembl:lncRNA
GGCCGGUCUGGGCUCCUCCGACUCCAGCGCCUCAGCCUGGAGACGUGGCUUGUCAGCUCGUCAGCUGCUUCUCCUCCACCUAUGCCACCAGCGCUGACCCUGCAGAUGCAGAGUGGACACAGGGGAGCAUCGGGGGCUCAGGCUGGCUCAGCUUAGGAUGGGCCCCACCUCUGAUCCUCAGCUUGCCCGGGGCGGGGGUGAUCACCCCAGCCCUGAGCCCUGGCCGUCUCCACCGCUUCCUCAGACAGAAAGCAUGAAACCAUCACACACAGAAGGGGCCACAGAGCGACGGGUCGGGUGCCCCUCAGCCGGGAGCUUCUGUUCUGCUGUGGGAGGAGCCUGAGCUCCCGAGCGAUGGCCAAGCCCCAGCUCCGUCCGUCUGAAUCCCAGCUUGUCCCUCGGAGUCGGACCUGGAUGGAAGGGUCAGAAUGCACGGCCUGCGGGGGCCACGGGCAGGCAGCCAGCCCAGGCGGGUCUCCGGCCACCGCACAGGACCUUCCAACCGUCAAAGCUGGUGUGACGAGGCCGGAGAGGAGGACACUGGUGGACGCCCCUAAUCAGCUCAGCAAGGAAACAGCCCGGAUCUUUGGGAUCUGAAAGCACCGAGGGCUCGCCUCGGCUGAGUGUGGGCCCCUGAAGACCUGGCACAAGUGUGACGUGAUCUGCUGACAGCCCAGGAAACCAGAAAGCAAACGGGGCUGCAGCUUUGUGCUUCUUUGGACUCAGCUGUCUGGACAGGCUGUACCCUCGCGGCCGAGAGAAGAUGUCUUCACGACGGGUUGGACGCGAGCUCAGCACCCGGGUCUGGGAAUCUCAUCUCCGGAGGAGCGGACUCUCUGGAACGAACUUCGUGCGGCUGCCUCUCCCUCUGCUGUUUCACGAACGCGUCCUCAGUUCCUCGUUACUCUCUGGAGUCCCCGGUCUACUCGUAGCAUCUGCCUCUCCUGGAACUCUGCUUUCUCUGACGCCCUGAGCCUGUUUCUUCAUGUCCACUGACUGCCGCAUUUCAGUCAACCGAGGAGAUGCUGGAAAGGAACACGCCCACACCGUCCGCCGUCUUGAACUGCAGACUUGACGCUCAACCAGCCGCCACUGAUCACAUUUGCAUCACAACCCAAUGAUCCCAACCACCGGCCUGGACCCGUUUCCUUAGAGCCAGAAAGACAGAUGCCAACACCGUGCCAGCCACCUCGGGCCAGGGCCCUCUGGGUGAUUUAAUACUGAUGUUCACGACUUGUGUUCUGGGGUCUCUGCACUGAGCACAGACUGUGUUUGAAGUUGAAAGGAAGGCAGGCAAAUAAGAAAAGAAAGAAAGAGAGAAAGAGAGAGGGAGGUGGUGGGGGAGGAAUUGAGGCCUCCUCACCUCACACCCGCGAGCGUGGCCACAAUGAGAAACACUCACAGAAAACACGCGUCAGUGAGGACGCAGAGAAGCUGGGACUUGUGCACUGCUGCUGGGAUGCUAACGAUGCAGCCGCCGUGGAGCACACUCUGGCACGUCCUCAAGGCUUAUCGACAGGCUGUCAUGUGAUGCGGCCGCCCCACUGUGCACUGAAGGAACCGAGGCCGGGUCUUGCAGAGGUGUCUGCACACCCGUGUUCACAGCAGCGUGAUUCACAAGAGCCCCAGGGUCCAUCAGCGAAUGAAGGGAUAAGUGGAACGCGGCCCAUCCACAGGGGAGCAUCAUUCAGCCCCAGAAAGGAAGGACGCCUGUUACAACACGGACAGAGCUUGCGGGCAUCGUGCUGAGGGAAAUCAGCCACAAAAGGGCAGGCACUGUGUGAUCCCACUCACGUGAGGCCCCUGGAGUUGACAGAUUCAUAGAGACAGAAAGUAGACGGUGGGGCCAGGGGCUGUGGGGGGGGAGUCAGUGUUUAAUGGGGACCGAGUCUCAGUUUGGGAAGAUGAGAAAGUCCUGGAGACAGAUGGUGUGACGGCUGCACAACAUUGUGAAUGUGCUCAAUGCCCCUAAACAGUGCACUAAAAAAUGGCUAACUAAUAAAUUUUAUGUUGUGUUUUUUACCACAGUUUUAAAAAUAAAAACUGUGGUAAGUUAAAAAAAAAAAAAAAGCUGCUACAAAAUGAUACAUAAAGCUUGAAAACCAAUCUUUAUAUUACGCAUGUACCUUAAUGGUGUCAAACGUGCCUCCUCUGUAAAGACACCACAUUUGGGACGUGGGCAAAGGGAGGUCAGUGAAGAAGGCUCCAGGGACGAGGGUGUCAGCUGUGCCCACAGUGCCCAGUGCCCCGUGCUGUGUCCUCUCCACCCACCCGUCCUGGGCCAUCAGCUCAGAAGCAGCCCUCACCCCACGCUGGGGCCCAGGGGGAGCAGGAAGGAGGGCACAGGGCCCGGGCUCAGCUGAGGGCGUCACUCGACCGUGUCUGUGCCAGCUUGAGGCAGAGGCCCCGUCAAGGUGUGGGCAGAGAUGCCUGUCUCCCAAACGGCGCCCCCAACUCCUUCCAGAGCUCGGAGCUCAGACGAACCUGGAGGGUGUGGGCAACGCACUUAUGCGGGGGGAGGCUCGGACGCGUUCUGGGGUGAAACCCAGCGAAAAUGCUCCCCUUGUUCUCCACGCCGUCCCGGCCUGACAGACGGGCUCGCUGUCACGGCCUCCUGGUUCCAGGAACUCGGGCAAAUUCUCCCUCUGGUUCCCCAUUCGUGAGGCGGGAGGACCCCGGGGGGUCCCACUGCCUCCUGUAGUAGAAAGAUGAACACAGGCACUGGACUCGCGCCAUCAACGAGACCUGCAGCGUUGACACGGUCAGACUCCAGUUGGCUCUGUCUUCAGUUCCGCCAGCCCGCGAGGUUGGAACAAUGAAUCCGAGAGGCCGCGAGUGGAGCCGAAAGGACGGGGGCCCACCAUAAUGGGCACAGACAUCUUUCCGGAUUCUUCACAAGAGGGAAUGGCAGGGCCUGAGCCCCCCACUGCUGGGAGAGGCUGACAGGCCAUACACCCCUGAGAUGACGGCUCCCGCCAGGCAUUGAGGACCGAGGCUCCAGCAGGGCUCCUGGCUGUGCAUCACAGGUGAGCAGCGAGUGUGCUGGGAACCUUCCAGCGGGAGACGGCCCUUCACGGCUCAGCACCCCUCAGCCCUGUGCAGAAAGUACCCGAACACGUGGGCAUCAGGCAUCUGCGGUUCUCACUGCCCCUCCUGCCUCAGGGGCAGCAGAAGGAGAGACUCACACGCGUGGGGCAGCCCCAAGCCUGGCAGCCGUCCCGCAGUCUGCGCCAAACAGGCGGGGCCUUUUCCAAGACGGGAUGAAGAGCUGGGAGCUGCCCCUCGCGGGCCCGUCCCUCAUCUGCUCAGUGGAAUUCUGCCCCCUGCUCUCCAGGUCAACUUGCCCGGUGCUCUCUCCCCACGUCCAGGUCGGCUGGCUGACCAGCCUUCACCCCCUGCCCUGAGGGGCCUGGGGGCUGGUGGCUGCCCAGCUUUGGUUCACCGCCUGCUGUCUCUGUGCUCAUUCAUCUUCCAGGCCCUGCACCAUGGGUGGAACUACGAGGCCGUCUGGCCCUGGAGCUCUCACAGGGUGGCUAGGGAUGUGGACCAGGAGCAGCCCAAGGCAGCCCAGAUGGGUGCCAGGCUCUGGUACUGGGAGGAGAGACUCCAAUACUGGAGGCAUCGGGAGGACUUCCUGGAGGAGGCGGCUUGCGAAGGCCGAGUUAGGGUGAGGAGGAAGACGAGCCUGCUCCCGGACACACACGACGAAGAGCCAUGACCAUGACCAGGCUUGUGUAGCAGACAACCGGGCGAGAGAGCUGGCCUGCCCUCUAGGGACCAUCCUGGGCCUCUCCAAGCCUCGGCCAUCUCGUCUGUGAGGUGGGGACACCCGUACACCUCAUGGCAAUGCUGGGGGCAAAGCCCACAAGAGCCCCAGGGCCCUGCGGUCCCUGAGGACUCGCGCCACAACGGUCGCCCGUAAAUGGCAGAUGGUGGCUCUGGGCCGGCUCCAGGGAUGGCCUGUGCUUGCAGUGAGAGUGGACAUUGCAAUGGGCUCCUCUGCUCAUCAGAAUCCCAAAGUCCUCAGUGGUAGCUGACCCCACACCAUCCCACGCGCCCCAAUAAUAAGCUCUCCCUAAACUUCAGCGGGAGCCAUCUCUGUGCCGCAGCUUCUCCAAGACACCACGGACCGGGCAGCUCACACACGGACACUCGCUUCUCUCCAUCCUGAGGCUGGACGUCCAGGAUCACGGUGCCAGCAGGCCCCGUUCUGGUGAGGCCUGCGUCCUGGGCAGCUUAGCAGGGCCGCGGUCCAGAAGGGGCGCUGGUGAGCUGAGCAGAGGUGCAGCCGACAGUAGCUGGCUCUGGGCUGUGCGCAGCCCUGACACCUGGGGAGGUGGCAGAAGCCAGGAUGCAAAACAACAAAAAUCCAUUUUCAUUUUCCGUUGGCAUUUACUUCUGGAACGCCUCACACGGCAGCUUAGGAGCGUGUGGAACUCCAGCUGCCCUUGUCUCCUGCUGCCCAUGAUUCCCUCUAUAUCCCCAAGAGGGAGUCCAGAAACGUGUGCUGAGCUAACCUCCGGACCCGGGUGCCUUAGGUUAGAAUCCAGCUCUGAACCAGCCAGGCAUCCUUGGGCAAUUCUCCUACCCCGUCUCCACGUGAGUUUCCUCCAGAAUAAACUGGGUUAUAGGGGGCGUGUCUGAAGCCCAGCGCAUUCUGAGCCUCCCUCAGUGGAUGUCAGGCACUGUGAUACGGACAUCAGGUGGGAGAUGCUGGCCAUUAACCCGAGAGCCAGUUAAAUUUCUUCCCAUCAAGGAGCUUAGACACAGGUUCUAAGUCUGAUGAAAACGGCAAGGCUCCAGUUCAAUGAUGACAACUGGAGACGUCCAGAACUUCCACUGAUGCACAGAACAGCUGGGCAGAGAAUCAACAAGGAAAGCAAGCUCUGAACAGCACGCUCAGCCAGUUGGACCCAGCGCACGUCUGCAGAACUCUCCAGCCGACACAGAUACACAGUCUUCUCAAGGGCAUGUGGAAUGUCCUCCAGGACAGGCCAUAUGUUAGGCCACAUAAUAAGUUUCAAUAAAUUUAAAAGGAUCGCAAUCAUACAAGAUAGGUUCUACAACCAUAAUAGAAUUAAAUUAGAAAACAGGAACAGAAGGAAAUUUGAGAAAUUCACAAACGUGGAAAUUAAACAACAUGGUCCUAUUGAAUCAACGGAUCAGACAAGACGUCACAAAGGAAACUAGAAAAUACUUUGAGAUGAAAGACUUUACAAAAAACUGAAGAGCAAUAUCCCCUUGAGCAUACGGAAGCAAAAUUAAUUAAUUGUGAUGAACGGGCCAUAACGUAAGAUGCUCGUAACAGGGAAACUGGGGGUGAAGUACAUGGGAGCUCUGUGCUACCGUCACGAUUUUCUGUAAAUCUAAAACUAUUCAAAAUUAAAAUCUUAUUAAACAGCUUUUUAAAAAUAAAGGCAGGGCUCCAUGAAUGUCUAUAAACCUCAUGAAAAUGCAUUCAUUAACCAUCAGAGGAAAGCACCCCACAAGCUCAUACACACACACGUGCACACACACGCAUA